rnacentral:rRNA from 1 species
CCUACGGGUGGCAGCAGUGGGGGAUAUUGGACAAUGGGGGGAACCCUGAUCCAGCGACGCCGCGUGAGUGAAGAAGUAUCUCGGUAUGUAAAGCUCUAUCAGCAGGGAAGAAGAAAUGACGGUACCUGAGUAAGAAGCCCCGGCUAACUACGUGCCAGCAGCCGCGGUAAUACGUAGGGGGCAAGCGUUAUCCGGAAUUACUGGGGGGAAAGGGCGCGUAGACGGUGAUGUAAGGCUGGAGUGAAAGGCGGGGGGCCAACCCCCGGACUGCUCUGGGUACUAGGUGACUAGAGUGAAGGAGAGGUGAGCGGAAUUCCUAGUGUAGCGGUGAAAUGCGUAGAUAUAAGGAGGAACACCAGUGGCGAAGGCGGCUCACUGGACUUUAACUGACGUUGAGGCUCGAAAGCGUGGGGAGCAAACAGGAUUAGAUACCCGAGUAGUC